GAAAACUUUCCUACGGAGAGACCUAGAGAUGAAGCAUCUUUGCGGAUGAGACUGAAACAAUUACGGAGGAACCCCCCUGAGAAUCUAGCUAAGAAAAUCGAAGAUCUGUUUAAGUUCUACAAAAUGAUAAUUCCCACCAUACGUCCAGGACCAUACACUCAUAGUUUAGGUAGUGGCUAGUCUUCGGGCCAGUCUUCGGGUGGAUCUUCAGGAGGAGGAGGAGGAGGACCUAUUCGUCGACAUCGCUCGACCACAAAUCCAUCUUUCUCUCUGCCCAAGGUCACAGAAUUCGAUCCUCAGCUUGAUGAGGAGGACCUCGAUAAAGAAUUGUUGACACUUUUGAAAAACAAUGAUGUUCCUUCUUCCAGGCAAGUAUACAUAAUGUACUGUAUGUCACUUAAGGACAAGAAGAAGCUGCGAAAUACUCCUGCGAAGAAUGUGUACAAUAUGGCAAAGCAGAUCGAGAAAACCUACAGAGAAAGAGGUGAGAUGGUCAACAACGCUGGAGAGUGAAGAAUAAGAUGAGAAGCAGCAGGUUCUGAGGAUGAAGCCGAGGAGGAAAACGAGGAUGAAGAGGAAGACCAGAACAGAGGAUUUGGAGUGCAACCAAAAUUGCUUAUACAUUUUUAGACAAAAAAAAGAGAAUGUAAUUUUGCCAAUCCGUAAAGUUUAUUUGCAUUGUUUUUAUUCCCAAUCAUAUUUAUUUUGAUUUUGAGACUUAUUUAGGACAUUGAAUUUAUUUUGAGACUUAUUUAGUAUUGUUAGAUUUUUAUCAAUGCUUUAUUUUGUCAGAGACAAAAACCUUGCAUGUGGUAAAAGGUC